GAGCAUGUGGUUUAAUUCGAAGCAACGCGAAGAACCUUACCAGGUCUUGACAUCGAUCUAAAGGCUCCAGAGAUGGAGAGAUAGCUAUAGAGAAGACAGGUGGUGCAUGGUUGUCGUCAGCUCGUGUCGUGAGAUGUUGGGUUAAGUCCCGCAACGAGCGCAACCCCUGUUGCCAGUUGCCAGCAUUAAGUUGGGGACUCUGGCGAGACUGCCGGUGACAAGCCGGAGGAAGGCGGGGAUGACGUCAAAUCAUCAUGCCCCUUAUGACCUGGGCUACACACGUGCUACAAUGGACAGAGCAGAGGGAAGCGAAGCCGCGAGGUGGAGCGAAACCCAUAAAACUGUUCUCAGUUCGGACUGCAGUCUGCAACUCGACUGCACGAAGAUGGAAUCGCUAGUAAUCGCGAAUCAGCAUGUCGCGGUGAAUACGUUCUCGGGCCUUGUACACACCGCCCGUCACACCAUGAGAGUCGGUAACACCCGAAGCCGGUGGCCUAACCGCAAGGAAGGAGCUGUCUAAGGUGGGACUGAUGAUUGGGGUGAAGUCGUAACAAGGUAUCCCUACGGGAACGUGGGGAUGGAUCACCUCCUUUCUAGGGAGA
rnacentral:rRNA from 1 species